GUAAGUGGCAGCUAAAUGGCCAGGAAACAGUCUUUUGUGUGGACUUAUCUCAAGGGAGACAGCCAUCUCAGGGGGGGCUCACAUGACCAAGCGCCCAGAAAUGUCACGUAGGCAGGGAAGGAGGAGGAUAAAAGAGGGUCCAACAACCAUGAAGUCAGGAUUCUGAUAACAGAUUCCACACGACCUGCCUCUCCCUCCCGGACUCGCUCUGUGCUCUACCUGCUUGCUGCCUAAGGAUGGCCUCUCUGCUGCUGCUCACCCCUCCGAGAAGGUGUCUGCCAUCAGAUCCCUCACUACAAAAGGCCUGCAUGCUGACUGACUCUCCAGGGCCUGCUACCGGAGACCUGCUGCUUCCGCCCAGACUUCUUCCUGGACCUACUCGGUACCUGCCUGCACCUUCUCGCUGCCUAAGACCGGCCACACCGCUGCUGCUCUUCCCCUGCGCUUUUGCCCCGGACCAUCGGAACGUCGUGCAACGGGACUACUGCCGGAUCCUGGUGGUGACUAUCCCCGCUUUACACAAUUCUUGCUUAUUUCUAUCUUUUCUAUCGCCCGCCUUCCCUUCCCCAUCACCCCAAUCCGUAAUAGUGUCUGUCCUCCCUUUCCCCAUCCCCCUUAUUAAGGAUUUUAUAAGCUGGUCGGACCAACGUCUGAACCGUUGUUUCUUAAUCUCACGCCGGGUAUACAUAUUUCAAAGAACCUCCUCUCCCUCCUGUAAAUUGGAGCAAGACAGGAACGUCUUGGGAUAAAGACAGCAGCUUACUAACAGUUUCCUGAGGUACUUAAAUGAGUAUUUGUAAACAUUGAAAUUUCAGUAGGGAUAUUAAUAACUAGCAAACAUUUGUUAAAAGUACAUCAAGUGAUAUCUACUUGCAUACCUUAUUUAAGAAUGUAAUAGGCUUUUGAGAGUAAUAGAGAAGUACUUGAAAUCACAUAGCUAGACUUCAGCAAUAGCUCUGACUCCUUAGAUGGCUCUUAGAGAAAGUCUAGAGAUCAACGUGCAAGAAAUAAAAGCAGUUGUACAAGUGCAGAACUGCCUGCAGAAUCAGCUGCUCCGUAAGGAAUGCAGACUUAAACCUGAUACCACAGACAGCAGGGCAAGGGCCUCACUAGCCGAGAUCUAGCCUCACAACACCCAAGCAGGACAGAGCCAGGGAAAACAGCCAGAUUCAACAGACAUCCAUGGUGACAAAUUGGGUCCAAGGCCAAGCCAGAAAACAAAAUCACAGGUUACAUUCAGAGAGAGUAACCACUAUUAGAUGCAGCCCAACAAUCACAAUACAGAUUCAGACUGAUAAAGCAAGACCAAAAAAAAAUAAUGCCAUGAAUCAAGAACAGAAGAAUUCUCAGAUAAACCCAGCUGUACCUUAGCAGGAAACCAGCAUAGAUCCCUAUGGCCUAUAGGCAGGAGGGAAUGCUGUAUCAGUGCUCUACUUUGAAGGAGCACAGCUCAUCACCCUUAUACUUGACACUGAGCUGGUUUUUUUUUUUGAUAGUUUCAGAAUAUUCUGUAUUUAUCAUGCUCACAUGUCUCAAACUCAGAAACGUAUAUGUAACAUUUUUCUGUGUUGAAGUUCUGGCUAUGUGAAAUAACAGAACCGUGUAAUAGGCAUUCUUUGUGUAUGGGAGAGUCUUGCAUGUGUUGCAAUUCAGAUUGCUAGUAGCUAUAGGCAUAAAUGUGUAGGGUUAGUUGCAUGUGUCUAAGAGCCAGUUUUGAAAAGCUAUUUGUAGAAGAGGGACUCCUGUCUCCUACAUGGAACAGCUUGUAUCAUUAGAUAUGCUACCAGAUUAAUUCUCAUGAUCCAAGUUGCUGCACAUAAGUUUAGUACUCAGGAAGCUGUCUCUGUCCUUUGUCAAAAACAAACAAACCUGGUCUCAUAUUAAAACACCUAGUCAGUGCAUUUUGGCUCUUGCAGAGGCAAAUCUGAGAACUCCUACGAUUUCAGAUGUCCCCAUACACAGCAUAUUAAUCACAACUAUAUCAUUCUGUUUGCAAUGUUUUGCUCUGAGGACAUAAAACUUCACCCAAACAAAGCUUAGAAGAUGUGCUCUAGGGAUUCUUAGGGUAAAAAACAAGCCUUUAGCAAAAUUAAAAGAAUGAUGCAUCUCGCAUUUUCAACAGUUUAAAACACUCCUAGACUACUGUUCAGAAAAUGCAUAAUAAAUACUAGAAAUAAAAUAAAUGAGUCAUAUAAAAUUUGAUCUUAAAAUUGCCAUAUCUGUAUUAUAUAACUAAAUACAUUAUAUUUUAAAUAUAUAACUAAAUAUAUUUAUGUAUUAUAAUAUUAAAUAUAUAACUAAAUUUUCAUUUUUGAGGUUGUAACGUACAGUUUUUUUCUAGACCUAUGCCUUCAGCUUCAAUGAGCACAGUUGGAGAACAUUGUAAGGGAAAAUGGUACACCGUCUGGGAUAUGCAAGGGACUUUGGCUCUUAAUUCAGAUUGUUGUAUAAUGUAUUUAAAAAAAAAAGUCAGCAAUGAUUUUCCUAGGAAUCUUUUCAUCAUAAUAUUACCUUCAUCUUACUCAUUCCCCAAUCAGUCUAAUUCAGGCACUCAAAUAUGCAAGGUAUGUAAAAACUAUGAUAAAUGUAUAUAUCAACACACGUUAUAAGCACCACUUGAUAUUCUAAUAAUCCAAGUAAAGCCUAUUUUUAAUACAUGAAAGCUGCUCUGAAAGUAAUGCCUCCUAUUUUGUCCUAUUGUGUUUUGUUGGUCCAUGAUGUCACAGGCAGAUGGUGGUGGUAUGGCAGUAGAGGCUGAACCUUCUCACCAAUAUCCCAUUACAUUUUGUUGCCAUGUAACAGAUGGCAACAAAGGGGCAGUCUGACAAAAUGACAUCUGACAGGGAAGUGCUUCUGAAAUAAAGGUCUGGGGUUGAAUUCCUUGAUGUGGAAAAAAUGACACCCAUUGGCAUUCACUGAUGUUUGCUGAAUGCUGAUGGAGACCAAGUAGCAGGUGUGAGCACAGUGACACAGUGAGUGGUGUGUUUCAGCAGUAGCAGCACCAACUGUGUCACCUCAGCUGGUGCAGAUUUUUCUGAGUGCAGCAUGCAGGUUCUUGUUCAUUGCUGGUGAAAAUGUGUAGUUAAUGAUGGUGCCUAUGUUGAAAAACAGGUUUUUUUGUAGCUGAGAAUUUGCUCUAUCAAAUUUGUAGCUAUUGUAGUUUCCAUGGAAAUAAACAGGAGGCAUUACUUUCAUAGAGAAUUAAGUAGAGGAGAAUGACUUCAUUUAUUCCUACAGGUGUAAGUUAAGAAGCAACUGUCAUGAAUUUAACAUCAAUUUGUAGCAAUUAUUGGUCUGGGCAUUAUAUGCUAACACUGCCUGGCUUCAAAUUCAAAUCAAGGAACACUCUGAUGUCAUGAAUUUUAUUUAAAAAUAUUUAUCACUACACACUACUCUGAGGUCUAGAAACAGAUUUAGAACUUGGGGAAAGAUGCAAAUGAAAAAUUCUAUUGGAAAAACAAAACUACUGUUUAAUGCUCGAGGCCUUAGUGGCCUUACAUUUGUAAUUAACCCAGCAAGAACAAAAUCCUCAUACUAAAGGCUAAACAUAACUCAAGGACUCUUUCAGAACAAAACAGUGCUACUGAAAUGCUGAGUUCUGAAUGCUCAUCAGAUCCUGGGUGAAAGCCAAGACAUCUCUGCUUUAUAUCUGAAGAAACUACUAUUAAGAACCUAAGAAUCACUGUCAUUCCAAAGCGUACUUCUGCUUUUUGAUUUCUUGGUUUCAGAACUGAGCUCAAGGCAGUUAGAUCAUUGAGCAGAAAGCUCCUGGCCACUCUGUAGUACCAGUGUAGUCAGUGGGAGCCAGACUUGCUCAGAAAACCAGCAAUUUGUGUCUCAAGUUCUGCACCCAUAGUCAAAAACUGACUCAGUAAGACAGACUGAUUUUCUGUUUUAACUCUCCAAUAAAAACAGUCUUUCCAGAUCCUGAAUUUGUCUUUUACGUGAAAUAGACUUUUCUGCCCAUUGCAUGUAAAUGUAAACUUUCUUGGAGAAACUUUAUAAGUAAGCUCACAGAAUAUUAGAAUUCCAUAGCUAUUCUUUUCUACUUUUUGGAAAAAAAAAAUAAAAUAAAACCAACAUCUGAUAUGUGGGGAGCAGAAUAGCUAAAUGUUAUAGGAUGUCACAUAUAAUCCAUAUGCAUCUUGAUUAAACUAUCAAUGUAGAACUCAAAUGUCCAUCUCUAUUAUUUCUUUCAGUGUCUUUUCACUUAGUAUUAGAAUGAAGAUAUUAAGAAGGCCCAAAAGGUACAAUAGCGCCCCUUUCCUUUUGCCAACAGUCUUAAGAGUUCCCCCCCCCCCCAGAUUUCCCCUUCAAUAACAUUUAUUUUGAAGAAUUUUAACAUCAAGGGCAACAUGGUACCCAGUUAUUUGACUAAGUAAGACGAAGGAAAGGCUUCACACACUGCUGCAUAUUAAGUGAAAGUGCAGGAAUAAUAUUUUCCAAGACCUAGAUAGAACUGAAUUUAAACAAACUCUAAUGGUUGACCAAUUUGAGAGCAAAUGAGAUGUUUCACAUCGAGGCUGUUGUUGAUGAUGGUGCAUUGUUUGUGACUGGAUCUCCCUCAGUGCUUGCGAUUGCUAUUAAUGCAGUCUUGGAAACAUUUUCAAGAAUUGCUUUACAUGGCCCUAGCAGGGGAAAGAGAAAUGGAAAGUCUGCAACAGCAGAACAAAUCUUUCUGGAAUUGAGUUCACUCUGAAAGUUGGCUACCACAUCUAACAGAACAGGAUGGGCUCAACUGGUUUUGUUUGUUUGUGGCUUGUUUUUUUUUUUUUUUAAUUUAUGCAAAUUAUUUCUGUCAGGUAAUAAGGUAAACAGAAAGAAUGCUGAGACUGCAGCACAGACUGGAAUACUGUUGGUAAGCUCUGCUUACCAUCUCUGAAUGAGGUGUACUCUUCUUUCCUUCUUGAUUUGAAUGAGAGCUAAGAGAUGUUCCUGUGUUUCAGACCAAACAGGAAGAUUUAUACAACUGUUCUUAAAAUGUGCUUCACCUCUUGUCAACCUCAAGAACAUUUGCCUUUUUUGCAGCUAUUCCCAUUCCUCUCAGUGACUCCCAGAGGUGAUCUAUUCAGCAUUAGUCAAGGCUGUAGUAAGAAUCUUCCAAAAGUAUUUUGCACUCUGCCAUUAAUUCCCUCGCUAUCUGCAAGUGAACCACUUCAGGCAUGGCUGCAACAUACAGUGAAGUACAGCAUGGAAAUUCCAAGCUGAUACAUUUGCAAAGCACCACUUAAUAAGGAACAGAAAAUCAUGAGAUCUGAAAGCAAUCUGGCCACAUCUGACACCGCUGUGCCAGACCUUGUAAAUUCAUUCUUUUAUCAUUACAGUUCAUUUGCUCAGAGGCUGUGCUGAGAUUGUUCUGGUUCUGAAGCAUCUAUGAACAUUAUUACCCCAAGGAAGUAUGUUUCACACUUCACUGCAGUGUGCACUUCAGUGCAGACAUGCCAACAGCCUGCCCUGGCCUUGAAAUCCUACCUGUAAUCCUACCUGUAAAGUAGGGACAAUGAUUUGACCUAUAAAAUAUAAAGUUGCAGAUAGUAAUGCAUUUUGACAGUUUCCCUACAGUUCAGUAUAGUGAUGAGGGCCGGAGGAAUAAUGCAGAUGUUUGAGCACUGUUGCAAGACUGCAAAGAGUCCUUAAAUUUGAUUCCUCAGAGUCAGUGGAUACUUUUGAAAGCAUCACUGAUUUUUCCAAGUUCUAAGGUGAUUGUAAGGGCGGUACUGAUUUCAGGGCCUGGAUUCAGAAAUAUUAAAAGCCCUGACCAGCCUCACCUGUGAAAUCCUCCCCAAUUCCUCCACAGUCCAUAGGCUCAAGGGCUCCAGGCCUGGAAGUUCAGUCCUUCUCUGAGCCAUGCUGCAGAGAUGCUGGUUCUCAGCACUAACAGGGUCACUCAGCCUCACAUCACAGCACUAUCUCAUGCAGACUUUGUUGGGACUGCCCAGGUGAGGCAAGGUCUCAAUUCUUUUGCCACGUUGCACAGUCCUAACUCAGACCCUUCAGGUGUGUAUGUGGCGGGGAACUCCUUGGCUUUCCCACCCCUCUUCAUGGGCAGCUAGCCCAUGUUGUUCCCUGACAACUAGCAGUAGAAUCAAGAAAGCCUGGGCCCCUGCUUUACAUUUUUAUCGAGACACAUCCUACCCUCUUCAAAUGCCACGUGCAGCUACCUCAAGACUGGUCAGUUGGUUACCUUCAUCCAGUUUCAACCAGUAGCCUCAUGCUGUUUCUCUGGUCUCAGAAUAGUUGAGAAACAAGGUGGCACCAAUGACACCGAGAGGCAAGACACAGAAAGCUUCAGUCACCCAAGUCUUGAUGGCACUGAAUUAGAAAUUACAAUUAUUUGUGUUCUCAAUGUUAUAAAAACCCUGGGUUUGUCCUUCAUGUAGCUAGAAAGGUGAGGAAAUUGAUAGUCUGACCAUGUGGUGAGGAAGACAGAAACAAACUCCAGCCUUUGGAGAAAUUAAUUCUUGGAGACCGAAAACCUAAAAUUAUCCAAAGGAGAAUAUUGUGUAACAUUGUACUGUAAAUCACUAACAGAUACCUCUACACCUAUAUGUUUAUCUUAGAUGCAAUAUAUAUUUUCUUAAUUAUUUUCUGUUUAUCAUAAAACUACCGAUGAUAGUAGCUUAAGAUUAGAUUGAGACUCAGUUUUUUUGCUUUGCUCUUCAGACUUCUUUAAAACAGGGUUUGAUUUUCUUUUGACCCAAUCUGUCUGAAUUCCAAAUCAAUCCAGAGGUAAAAGUUCGUGUUCACUAUUUACUCUUUCAGUGUUACAGGUGGUGGAAGAUGACUCCAGUGGGGAGUUGCAAAAUUUGCAAGUUUGUUUACUAACUUUUUAUGCAUACCAUGGAUAUGACUUCUCCUAGUCAUUAUUCCUCCCAUUUUAGGAGAUUCACAUCUAUUCAUGUGCACAUAAGUGUUAGCUAAUUGGAAAGUUUAAGUCAAAAGCAGAUACUUGCAGCUGUUUGCUUGUAUAGAAAGAAACCUCUCCUUGACAGGUUCUACAAAGUAUCAGUUCGGGUCAAGUUGAAUCAUAAUAAUUGUUCUGCUGACUUUAAAAGGAACACACUCUGAUGAUGUUAUUACUGUAGCAAUUUGGUGGAAACCCAAUGCCAUAAAAUCCUGGUUCCUACUGUUGUAUCUUUUUCUACAUGAGCUCUCAUCUGCUUUCUCACUAAAAAUAGAAUAUUGCAUAUAACUACUGCAAUGCUAACUCUUAGUAUCAAACAUCUUUCUUUCUCCAUCUGGUGUUUUAGCUCAAUUAACAAAUUAGAACAUGAGUGACUGAUGUAGAAAUAAUAGUUAUACCUACUUUCCUUCUCUGAAAGGGCUCAGUUUGUAACAAAAGUGCAUGCACUUUAAAAGUGCACUGAAGGUGUUAGCUCGGUGAUCCUUACUACAUCUCUACAUGGUAGCAAUUUCUCUCUGUUUACUCAUUUUGCACAGUAAGAGAGAGAUUUAAUUUUUGUCAUCUCAUGGCCUCGCACAGGAUGAGGGUAAGUGACAUCUUUUGUGUAGUGGCACGUUUAUGCAUGGCUUAUGUAUGGCUUUGUGCUUUUCAUGCUAAAUUUAAAAGCCAAAUUUCCAGGAUAGGGCCAGUGCAUUAAAGUAUAAAGUUUACUCAGAGACAUAUAAUAUUUGCAAUUUCAAGAGUUUUCCUGUGUUUCUGUAUACAGUUGUUUCUGCUCUAUGUCGUUUCUCCUUUGGUAUUCCCCUACUUUGAUUACCUCUGCACUCCUUAAGUUACAGAUCCUGGAUCGCUUUAAAAUGGAAAAGCCUCAAGCAGCGUUCAGCAACGUUCUCUCUCUUUUAUUAUUUACUGGAAUGGUCACUGUGAGAUCACUGCCUUUGAAGAAGAGUUAGAGUGCUGAAGACCCUGCAAUCACUCUGGAAGAGACUUCCGUAUCUGCUUCUGCAGACUGUCUGGGACCGUUAAAUGACCAAAUAUUUAUCUGUGGUUGAAAAAAUGACAUAUUUCUUCUUGUUUGCUAUCUGGCCAUGUUGUUUGUACAAGCACCCUCAGAGGUGUGCAGAAGUAUACAUACAGCUGCAAGGAUAUCACUGAAAGGUAAACAGACAUUUGAAGAACUUACAAUCAAAUGCUUAACCUGGUGUAACAGUGACGCCAUCGUCUUCAUGCAUGUUAACAAAUCUCAAAUCAAGAGAUUUGAUUUUGAUUGUUUUGCUCAUGAUUGCAGCUGGAAAGAAGCACUAGUGUCUGCAAGAUAAAGAGAGCAAUCAAGUUCCACUUCUAGGUCCUAGGAUGAAAAAAAAAAAGGCUCCUUCAAAGGAGGAAGCCUAUAACUGAUAUACCACUCUGUCUCCUGAGCAUGACAGUGAAAAAGAAAGGAUUUCAUUGCACCAAGAAGAGGACAACUCCUUCUGAAACUGUUAUCCUCAGAUGGGAACUACUGUGCAAAAAUUCAUCACAUUAUUUGAAAACGACUUGCACAAGUGUAUGCCCUGAAGCAAAACAUGAAUAUAUGUAUGCUACACAUAAUUGGCAUGGUAAUAUUAUCCACUGAAAUAUCUAGGUCUCUACAUCAAGCUAAACAUCACAGAGCUAUAAUAAACAAGUAAAUAAAGAAGUGGUGAUUAGCAAACUGGAUUUAUGUUCUUAAGUACCUGAUGUGCUGUAAGUCAGUUCAUACUCACAUCCUAAAGCAGUUUGUGAAAUGUAUAUCUAUUUAAAUGACAUUUACAAAACCUGUUUAUGCUUUCAACAUGAUAAAUUCAUCUUCAAUUACUUGGAAAAAUAGGGCGAGUAUUUAUAACCUGUUGUUCUUUUUUCAUAAAAGAAAAACCCAUGCCCAGGCAUUCCUAGUAUUUCUUACUUACAGUAUGACAUCCACAGUGUUCAUCAGAGUACAGUGCAGUGCUGUGCACCUGUAGGAACUGUUGCUUAAUUUCACAGCUUAGGUGCCCAAAUUAAAUUGCACUGAUUACCUCUUCGACUCCUAUAUUAAAAAUUACCUUUGGUGGUUUUAAUAUAGAUACUCAGGAAGGUUUAAAUUUUAAAUGGAUGACCAUGGGUUAAGCUUUAUUCCCUGUCUUAUUAGGAAUUAUACUAAAAAAGCUCUAACAGACUCCCCGUGUAUUUGCAAAAAUCUUUCUGGUGACACCUUAUGACAUCUUGUCAAAAUCCUCACUUUAUUCUUGCUAGUUUUACAUUAAGUUGCUGCCUGCUGGAAAUAAGUUUUAUCACAGCAGGAGCCUAAACCAACAUUUAUUUCAGAAAUCCCAAGAAAACAUUCAGAACUAUCACAGUUAUAGAAAUAUGUGCCCCACAUCUUCUGUGGGUGGAUAGAUACAUGCCUGCAUCCGGAAGGCUGGAAACAGGUUUCAGCCCCUGACUGCGGAUGGCUCUGCUCAGAAAGCUCAACUACAACAGUCUGCAGCCAUCUGCUUGUUGCAAUCAGAUCCACUUCAAAGUGUCACAAUCUGACCUUUGUUAUGGCAACAAUAACUUGCAACGGAUGCUCAAGCCAGCUGGUCUGCAGAGAUCCUAGAUCGCCUCAGUGAGUUUAGAAUGACCUUUUGCAGUGCAGACACCAGAAGUCAAAGAGGUGAGCUAUCAUGUUAUCACAGAGAUCUCAGCAUGCUCUAAGGAGCUUUUUUUAGCCUAGGACUGAAAAAAGGGACUCCCUUUAGUGAAUCCUUGAGUCAGCUUUUUACUUCUGUGGUAGAGCCCAAAUGCAUUCUCCUUUCUCAGUUUAAACUUCACAUUUAAUAGAAAUUGUUUUUAUAACAAACAUUUAUGUAAAACCUCUUCAAUAAACUAGGUAGGGCUUCCUGUUAUUCUUUCACUGCUGCUUAGAUUUGUGGUGCUACUCUGAGGUGUUUGUAUUAUUGCUGUAAAGAAGAAGUAGUAAAACAAACUAUGCAAAAUAUUGUUUUGAGCCUCAUUGGCCACUGUUUUUCAUAUCUCUUGCCGUGAUAAGGAAUUCUCAGGUAAAAGAGCCAAACUUGUAUCCAUUUCCUCUUCCCUUCCAGAGAGUUUCUAAGAAUACAAAUGUACCCAAUUUCACAGGUAAUACACUACAUAUCUCUG
ensembl:lncRNA